GUCUUCAUGGAUUUUAUAUGAAGUCGGGCCUGCCCAGUGAUUUAUUUUUAACGGCCGCGGUAUAUUGACCGUGCAAAGGUAGCAUAAUCAUUAGUUUCUUAAUAGGGGGCUGGUAUGAAAGGUUUGACGAAAUAUUAACUGUCUCAUUUAUAUUAAUUAUAACUUAAUUUUUGAGUUAAAAAGCUUAAAUUUUUUUGGAGGACGAGAAGACCCUAUAGAGCUUUACAUUAUCAAUCUUAUUAUUUUUUAGAUUAUUUUUAUUUAUUAUUUUUGUAGUGUUUUGUUGGGGUGACAGUAAAAUAUAAUUAACUUUUUUAUUUUAUUAACAUUAAUUUAUGAUUUUUUGAUCCUUUAUUAUUGAUUGUUAGAUUAAGUUACCUUAGGGAUAACAGCGUAAUCUUUCUUUGGAGUUCAAAUUUAUAGAAAGGCUUGCGACCUCGAUGUUGGAUUAAGAUAAUAUUUUGGUGCAGUAACUAAGUGGAUAGGUCUGUUCGACCUUUAAAAUCUUACAUGAUCUGAGUUCAGACCGG
rnacentral:rRNA from 1 species